rnacentral:rRNA from 1 species
CCUACGGGAGGCAGCAGUAGGGAAUAUUGGUCAAUGGAGGAAACUCUGAACCAGCCAUGCCGCGUGCAGGAUGACGGCCCUCUGGGUUGUAAACUGCUUUUAUACGGGAAGAAAAAGCGCUACGUGUAGUGCACUGACGGUACCGUAAGAAUAAGGAUCGGCUAACUCCGUGCCAGCAGCCGCGGUAAUACGGAGGAUCCAAGCGUUGUCCGGAUUUAUUGGGUUUAAAGGGUGCGUAGGCGGAUCUUUAAGUCAGUGGUGAAAGCCUGCAGCUCAACUGUAGAACAGCCAUUGAAACUGAAGAUCUUGAAUGUGGUUAAAGUAGGCGGAAUGUAUCAUGUAGCGGUGAAAUGCUUAGAUAUGAUACAGAACACCGAUAGCGAAGGCAGCUUGCUGAACCAUUAUUGACGCUGAGGCACGAAAGCGUGGGGGGCGAACAGGAUUAGAUACCCUGGUAGUCCACGCCCUAAACGUUGAUUACUCGUUGUUGGCGAUAUACUGUCAGCGACCAAGCUAGAGCGUUAAGUAAUCCACCUGGGAAGUAUGACCGCAAGG